GUUGUAGCCAAGCGGUAAGGCAUCAGAUUUUGAUUCUGACAUGCGUUGGUUCGAAUCCAACCU
rnacentral:tRNA from 1 species